AUUGAACGCUGGCGGCAUGCCUUACACAUGCAAGUCGAACGGUAACAGGUUAAGCUGACGAGUGGCGAACGGGUGAGUAAUGUAUCGGAACGUGCCCAGUCGUGGGGGAUAACUACUCGAAAGAGUGGCUAAUACCGCAUACGACCUGAGGGUGAAAGCGGGGGACCGUAAGGCCUCGCGCGAUUGGAGCGGCCGAUAUCAGAUUAGCUAGUUGGUGGGGUAAAAGCCCACCAAGGCGACGAUCUGUAGCUGGUCUGAGAGGACGACCAGCCACACUGGGACUGAGACACGGCCCAGACUCCUACGGGAGGCAGCAGUGGGGAAUUUUGGACAAUGGACGCAAGUCUGAUCCAGCCAUGCCGCGUGCGGGAAGAAGGCCUUCGGGUUGUAAACCGCUUUUGUCAGGGAAGAAAUCUUCUGGGUUAAUACCUCGGGAGGAUGACGGUACCUGAAGAAUAAGCACCGGCUAACUACGUGCCAGCCGCCGCGGUAAUAC
rnacentral:rRNA from 1 species